CUAUGAUCUAAAAUGACUGGCCUGUAGUGGGGAGAAUGCACUCUGACCAAAGCCAUCAUACCUAUACAUAUAAUUUCUGGUAACCACCAAGGCCCACUUGAUUCCCCACACACGUACUUCAGGAUAAAAAGAGAAACCCCUAUUCAAGGUAGUUUCAACCCAUAUAUAUCGAUGCCAUAGGUGUACCAAGGGGGGUACCAAACGAGUACAAAGCCAGAGUUGAGGUUGCGGCAGG